rnacentral:rRNA from 1 species
UACGCAGGUGGCGAGCGUUGCCCGGAAUCACUGGGCGUAAAGGGUGCGUAGGCGGCCGUGUAAGUCCGGUGUGAAAUGCCACGGCUCAACCGUGGAACUGCGCUGGAAACUACACGGCUUGAGGACGGUAGAGGGAGACGGAACUGCUGGUGUAGGGGUGAAAUCCGUAGAUAUCAGCAGGAACGCCGGUGGAGAAGUCGGUCUCCUGGGCCGUUCCUGACGCUGAGGCCCGAAAGCUAGGGGAGCAAACCGG